rnacentral:rRNA from 2 species
GGUGAGUAACACGUGGGCAACCUGCCUGUAAGACUGGGAUAACUUCGGGAAACCGAAGCUAAUACCGGAUAGGAUCUUCUCCUUCAUGGGAGAUGAUUGAAAGAUGGUUUCGGCUAUCACUUACAGAUGGGCCCGCGGUGCAUUAGCUAGUUGGUGAGGUAACGGCUCACCAAGGCAACGAUGCAUAGCCGACCUGAGAGGGUGAUCGGCCACACUGGGACUGAGACACGGCCCAGACUCCUACGGGAGGCAGCAGUAGGGAAUCUUCCGCAAUGGACGAAAGUCUGACGGAGCAACGCCGCGUGAGUGAUGAAGGCUUUCGGGUCGUAAAACUCUGUUGUUAGGGAAGAACAAGUACAAGAGUAACUGCUUGUACCUUGACGGUACCUAACCAGAAAGCCACGGCUAACUACGUGCCAGCAGCCGCGGUAAUACGUAGGUGGCAAGCGUU